CACUUCACAGGGAUGAAUAUAAAAGAUACGGUCUCUGCCUUUAAGUAGCUUACAAUCCAGUAGAGGGAAAGGGACAAAUAAACCCCAAAUCAAACAAUUAAAUAAUUUCAGCUAGCCAUCAAAUAUAGUAUAAAGAAAAUCCAGGCAGGGUGCAGUGGCUCAUGCCUGUGUAAUCCCAGCACUUUGGGAGGCAGGGGUGAGUGGAUCUCCUCAAGCUCAGGAGUUUGAGACCAGCCUGGGCAACAUGGUGAAACCCCAUGUCUAUGAAAAACACAAAAUUUAGCCAGGCAUGGUAGCACACACGUGUAGUCCCAGCUACACAGGAGGCUGAGGCAGGAGAAUCACUUGAGCCCUGGAGGCAGAGGCUGCAGUGAACUGAGAUUGUGCCAUUGCACUCCAGCCUGGGCAACACAGCAAGACUUGUCUUUU
rnacentral:lncRNA from 10 species